AAAACGAUGUGACGAGAAGAGUAAUCGGCAGCGCAAAGCACAGAGAAUUGCCAGUAGGUGAGAAGGCAGUGAGCGGGCUGACGGUGAAAAUGAUCUCUGAAUGGAUUCGGCAAUCUGAGUCGAAUACGGGUGCCUCCGUUACCGGGUUACGAUGUGAUUACGCAUUUAAAGGUCUUCGUAUGGAGACGAACCUGGGUGGUACCCCGGCACUAUUGUCGGCCCUUCU
rnacentral:ncRNA from 1 species